GAUUAUGGCUCAGGAUGAACGCUGGCGGCGUGCUUAACACAUGCAAGUCGAACGGAGUUUUUAAACGGAAGUUUCGGGUGGAAGUUUAGAAACUUAGUGGCGGACGGGUGAGUAACGCGUGGGUAACCUGCCUCAUACAGGGGGAUAACAGUUAGAAAUGACUGCUAACACCGCAUAAUAUAGCGAAACCGCAUGAUUUUUGCUAUCAAAUAUUUAUAGGUAUGAGAUGGGCCCGCGUCUGAUUAGCUAGUUGGUGGGGUAAAAGCCUACCAAGGCGACGAUCAGUAGCCGGCUUGAGAGAGUGACCGGCCACAUUGGGACUGAGACACGGCCCAAACUCCUACGGGAGGCAGCAGUGGGGAAUAUUGGACAAUGGGGGAAACCCUGAUCCAGCGAACCGCCGCGUGAGUGAAGAAGUAUUUCGGUAUGUAAAGCUCUAUCAGCAGGGAAGAUAAUGACAGUACCUGACUAAGAAGCCCCGGCUAACUACGUGCCAGCCGCAGC
rnacentral:rRNA from 1 species